rnacentral:misc_RNA from 1 species
GAUGAAGAACGCAGUGAAAUGCUAUACGUAAUGUGAAUUGCAGAAUUCAGUGAAUCAUCGAAUCUUUGAACGCAUAUUGCGCUCUCUGGUAUUCCGGAGAGCAUGCUUGUUUGAGUAUCAGUAAACACCUCAACUUCCAUAUCUUUUUUGAAAUGGGAGUUGGACUUGAGUGAUCCCAACGCUUUUCCUCACCGAAAAGUGGCGGGUUACUUGAAAUGCAGGUGCAGCUGGACUUUUCUCUGAGCUAUAAGCAUAUCUAUUUAGUCUGCCUAAAAAACAGAUUAUUACCUUUGCUGCAGCUAACAUAAAGGAGAUUAGUUCUUGUGCUGACUGAUGCAGGAUUCACAAAGACAGGCUUCGGCCGACUUUGUAAACUCGAUCUCAAAUCAAGUAAGACUACCCGCUGAACUUAAGCAUAUCAAUAAGCGGAGGA